GGUUAAGCGACUAAGCGUACACGGUGGAUGCCUAGGCAAUCAGAGGCGAUGAAGGACGUGCUAAUCUGCGAAAAGCGUCGGUAAGGUGAUAUGAACCGUUAUAGCCGACGAUGUCCGAAUGGGGAAACCCAGUGCAAUUCGUUGCACUAUCGUUUGAUGAAUCCAUAGUCAAACGAGGCGAACCGGGGGAACUGAAACAUCUCAGUACCCCGAGGAAAAGAAAUCAACCGAGAUUCCCCUAGUAGCGGCGAGCGAACGGGGAGCAGCCCAGAGUCUUAAUCAGCAUCAGCAUCAGGAGAACGGUCUGGAAAGGCCGGCAAUAAAGGGUGAUAGCCCCGUAUCCGAAGGUGUUGGUGUUGUGAACUCGACGAGUAGGGCGGGACACGUGUUAUCCUGUCUGAAUAUGGGGGGACCAUCCUCCAAGGCUAAAUACUCCUGAUUGACCGAUAGUGAACCAGUACCGUGAGGGAAAGGCGAAAAGAACCCCGGCGAGGGGAGUGAAAUAGAACCUGAAACCGUGUACGUACAAGCAGUGGGAGCC
rnacentral:rRNA from 1 species